rnacentral:rRNA from 1 species
CCCUUAGAUGUUCUGGGCCGCACGCGUGCUACACUGAUGCAUUCAACGAGUCUAAAACCUGGUCUGAUAGGGCUGGGUAAUCUUUUGAAAGUGCAUCGUGAUUGGGAUAGAUGAUUGCAAUUCUUCAUCUUCAACGAGGAAUGCCUAGUAAACGCAAGUCAUCAGCUUGCAUUGAUUACGUCCCUGCCCUUUGUACACACCGCCCGUCGCUCCUACCGAUUGAAUGAUCCGAUGAAUACCAUGGAUUGAGAGUACGAAUAGGUUCGCUUAUUUCUGCUGCUCGAGAAGUGGAGUGAAUCUUAUCAUUUAGAGGAAGGAGAAGUCGUAACA